rnacentral:lncRNA from 1 species
AAUGAGGGAUUUCCUAGUCCAUGCAGGCAACAUCCUCUUUCUGCGAGUGGUACCUGGUCCUUUGGUAGUAGUCACUCUAUCAGUAAACAUUUUGUUCUUGUGAGCAACUAAACCCUGGCGUGGAAUUUUUUUUAAAAUUCCCAUUGUUCCCAUAGUGGGUACAUAACCAAUUAUCAGGUAAGUAACAUACUUGUUUUGUGGGUUGUAUGGAGUUUUCUCCCCUUGGCACCCGAUGCCUUGCUUAUUCCCUCUAUUGUUAAGAUACAUGGCAGUGACAAUAUCUGAGGACCAGGUCCACUUUAGGGAUUUCUCAAGAUCAUUUCAUACUUUCUCCAACUCAUCCUGGAGUUGUUGACUCCUCUUGAGUUCACUGCAGAAACUAGUUUUUACAACAGUUAACUCCUUCUCAAGCAAGAUAUGCGACUCAUUGGCUACUUCCUUCCCUUUUCCAAGACUUACAUUCCAAUGUUCUCUAUUGAGUACCUCAAUGGUUUCCUCUAGAUCAGUGCAUAUUACUAACAUGUCAUCC